UAUAUAUUAGUGUAGGAUGCACUUGAAUUUUUGAAUUUCAAAGUUAUGGUUUAAAUCCAUAAUAUAUAA
rnacentral:tRNA from 1 species